AUCCAUAAUUGUCAACCAUUUUCCAAAGUGUACAAAACGUACACUUGGGGGGAAGGGGUUAAAAAAUCAACAUUUUUACCGUACGCUUUUUUUUUCCAGAAUUUAUUUCGUUUCCGUAGGGAAGGUCGAUGUAUAAAAUGGAGAAUUGGCUUGGGUGUAUUUCUCUUCUUAUUUCUUCUUUAUUAUUUUUACUUGAUGAUAUUUAUUUCGAUAUCAUAAUUCUCCUCAAUCCGGAUUGAACGAUUAAAAGAUCAAAUCAUAUGAAAACUCAAUUUUUCAAAAAUGUAAACUUGUAAAUUUUUUAAACAAAAAGUUUGCAAGCAUUUCUCAGUACCCCCAAUUGUCAAUUUCACCUGCUUUAUUAUAGAUCGUUAUCGUUUCACUCUGUUUAAUAAACAAAACUGAUGGAAACACUAAAUUCUUUGAAUGUUUUGAUUUUGACAAGACACCAUUUUGUGAAAAGAUUUUAAACUGGUACUCGAUUAAUUUCCUUGUAAUGUAUUCCAAAACAGUAAACCAGUAAACCGGAAGUAAACUAAUUUUUCUUAGUAUAAGCCUCCUUUAAUUAGGAGCACCUCCAUAUGAAGUUUAACCUUACCCUUAAAAAAUAUCCAAUAUAUGUACACGUUACAGUAUAUACACAAACGAUAAUAGUGCCAUGAAUGGCAUAUUUACAGGGACUUUUUAAAUAGAAAUACAGGCGGGAAAUUUAAAAACUUAAAAUGUUUUAAAACAUUACACUUUUAUUGAUUGCUGUCUUAAGCUCUGAUUCCAUCAACAACUGUCAGUCCAUACUUUACCAAUGCAAUAUAACCAUGCAUUUCCCUUUCUUUGAUUCUUAGCAUAGUUUAUGUGCCCUUUGUUAAUCUUUUGCAUGCUCUAGGUGCCCUUUUUCAUUGGAGUUCCCACUGUGUGAUAGGAGAAACACUAAUCUUUGAACUCUUUAUUCUAACAAAACACAAGCAUCACAGAUAGAUGUCAUCAAAUAAACCAGUCAGAUAUGUUUUAGUUUAUUUUCAAUGCAAAUUUCUAUAUUAAACUAAAAUAUAAUAAACAGGAUCUUCUUUUUAUUAAGAAUGAUUGAUCAUUGUUCUCUUGAAAUCUGAAAAUGGUUGAUGUACACUUUUUGAGGGAGGGUGGGGGGUCUGAAAAAGUGUACGUUUUGUACACUUUGGAAAAUGGUUGACAAUUAUGGAUGACCCCU
rnacentral:lncRNA from 1 species